CACAGCGGCCCUCUGCCCCAGCCUCCGCCAGCCAUGUGCAGCCUCCAAGCGCUAUGCUCUGGCCUGCCCCUGCGACCCCUCCCGGAGAACCGGGGCCGGCGGGCCGGGGUGCCCCACGCCCCAGUCAGGACCCCUGGCCUCAGCCCCCGUGAGGAGCAGCUGGCGCUGAAGAACGCCCUCCGCUACUUCCCCCCGGACGUCCAGGAGGUGCUGGCCCCCGAGUUCGCCCAGGAGCUGCGGCUCUACGGCCACAUCUACAUGUACCGCUUCUGCCCCGACCUGGAGAUGAGGGCCUACCCGGUGGAGCAAUAUCCCUGCCGGACGAGGGCGGCUGCAGCCAUCAUGCUCAUGAUCAUGAACAACCUGGACCCAGCCGUGGCACAGUUUCCCCAGGAGCUCGUGACCUACGGAGGAAACGGGCAGGUGUUCAGCAACUGGGCGCAGUUCUGGCUGACAAUGUCCUACUUGGCCCAAAUGACGGAGGAGCAGACGCUGGCCAUGUACAGCGGACACCCGCUUGGCCUUUUCCCCAGCAGCCCCGAGGCCCCCAGGCUGGUCAUCACCAAUGGGAUGGUCAUUCCCAACUACUCCUCCAGGACAGACUACGAGAAGCUCUUUGCCGUGGGGGUUACCAUGUACGGCCAGAUGACGGCAGGCAGUUACUGCUACAUCGGCCCCCAGGGCAUCGUCCAUGGCACGGUGCUCACUGUGCUGAACGCGGGGCGGCGCUACCUAGGGCUCCAGGACCUGGCGGGCAAGGUCUUUGUCACCUCCGGGCUGGGCGGCAUGAGUGGGGCUCAGGCCAAAGCCGCUGUCAUCGUGGGGUGCAUCGGUGUGAUCGCAGAGGUGGAUGGCGCGGCCCUCAUGAAACGCCACAGGCAAGGCUGGCUGAUGGAAGUGACUGACAGCUUGGACCACUGUAUCGGAAGACUCAGGGAAGCAAGGAAGAGGAAGGAGGUGCUCAGCCUUGGUUACCAUGGCAACGUGGUGGACCUCUGGGAGCGCCUGGUCCAUGAACUGGACACAACGGGGGAACUCCUGGUGGACCUGGGGUCCGACCAGACGUCCUGCCACAACCCCUUCAACGGCGGCUACUACCCUGUGCAGCUGAGCUUCGCAGAGGCCCAGAGCCUCAUGGCCUCUGACCCCACUGCCUUCAAAGGCCUGGUCCAGGAGAGGGUCAUGAGGGCGCUGUUCCGUGGGGAUGCUGGGGACAGGCUGAGGCGACAUUUGCAAAGCUCUGGGGCAGCUGCAGCACCUACGGCCGCUAAGCAGCCUGCGGAGGCACGUGUCAGCCAUCAACAGGCUGGCCCGGGAGCGCUUCUUCUUUUGGGACUAUGGCAACGCCUUCCUCCUGGAGGCCCAGAGAGCCGGGGCCGACGUGGGGAAGCCGGGCGCCAACAGGACAGAGUUCCGCUACCCUUCCUACGUCCAGCACAUCAUGGGGGACAUCUUCUCCCAGGGCUUUGGGCCUUUCCGCUGGGUGUGCACCUCGGGGGACCCCCAGGACCUGGAGGUCACAGAUCGGCUGGCCACGUCUGCGUUGGAGGAGAUUGUUGCGGCCGGAGUGACCCCGGCUGUGAAGCUCCAGUACGUGGACAACAUCCGCUGGAUCCGGGAGGCUGCCAAGCACCAGCUGGUGGUGGGCUCCCAGGCCAGGAUCCUGUACUCGGACCAGAAAGGCCGUGUGGCCAUCGCCCUGGCCUUCAACCAAGCCAUCGCCCGUGGGGAGCUCAAGGCGCCGGUGGUCCUGAGCCGAGACCACCAUGACGUAAGUGGCACCGACAGCCCCUUUCGGGAGACCUCCAACAUUUACGACGGCUCUGCCUUCUGUGCAGACAUGGCUGUGCAGAACUUCGUGGGCGACGCGAUCCGUGGGGCCACCUGGGUCGCCCUGCACAACGGCGGGGGCGUUGGCUGGGGCGAGGUGAUCAACGGGGGCUUUGGCCUCGUGCUGGAUGGGACUGAGGACGCCGAGCGGAAGGCCAGGCGGGUGCUUAGCUGGGACGUUGCCAACGGAGUAGCCCGCCGCUGCUGGUCCGGGAGCCCCACAGCCUACGAGGUCAUCUGCCAGACGAUGCGGGAGGACAGUGGCAUGGUGGUGACGCUGCCGCACGCAGUGGCGGAUGAGCGUGUGCUCCAGGCCCUGCGGCUGUGAGAGGACUGGGCGUCCGCGGUGCCCUGGCCCCCGGGUCCCGCCCUCACCUCACAUUCCCCGUCCCCUCCACUGCUCGCCGUGCUCCCCUGGGUCCAGAGCUUUGCACACGGGCGCGCGUGGACGCAUGCACACAAGCAUGCACGCGCACGUAUGCACACGCGCGCGCACACACAGAUGCGCGCGCACGCACACACAGAUGCGCGCAC